rnacentral:rRNA from 1 species
UACGUAGGGCGCAAGCGUUGUCCGGAAUUAUUGGGCGUAAAGAGUUCGUAGGCGGUUUGUUAAGUCUGAUGUUAAAGAUCGGGGCCCAACCCUGGGAGUGCAUUGGAUACUGGCAGACUGGAGUGCAGUAGAGGCAAGUGGAAUUCCCAGUGUAGCGGUGAAAUGCGUAGAUAUUGGGAAGAACACCGGUGGCGCAGGCGACUUGCUGGGCUGUAACUGACGCUGAGGAACGAAAGCUAGGGGAGCAAAUGGG